rnacentral:lncRNA from 1 species
GAGAGAGGUAUCGGAGAUUAGGGUUUCGAUUAUGCCAGCGUCGGAGGUUGAUGAGAUGGUGCGGUGACAGAGGGAUCCGACGAGGAAGUGUUGUUUUAAAGGGUCCACGCUAGGGAUUCUGGAUAGAGGUUUGGUGAUUGGAAAUUGAUGACGUGGAGAAGUGUUGUUUUAAAGGGUCCACGCUAGGGAUUCUGGAUAGAGGUUUGGUGAUUGGAAAUUGAUGACGUGGGAGUUUUCGGCGAGGGCUUUGAUUAUCGGAGUUGAAGUUUGGAGGAAGAGGAGGACGACGACGACGACGGUGGUGUAUGAAGUAAGGGAGUGAUUGGAUGAGUGAAUUGGCAUUGUGAGGUUUUGAGAGCUGUGUUUUUGGGUUUGAAACUUUAUUCCAAGUAGCGGCUGAAUAUAAGUGUAUGGGUCUUCAUCUCAUGAUGAUCUAUCUAUAAAAUUAUACUAUAUUCUUUAAUCGGAGAGGAUUGAUUUUGAAUCUCUAGAGUUUGAAAAAGAGAAAUUAAAG